UCUGCCCUAUGAUUAUUAAAUGGCUGCGGUAAUUUGACCGUACGAAGGUAGCAUAAUAAUUAGUCUUUUAAUUGGAGUCUGGAAUGAAUGAUUGGAUGAGAAAAUUACUUUCUUUAUAAUUUUAUUUAUUAUAAAUUGAUUUUUGAGUGAAAAAGCUUAAAUUUUUUUUUGGGACGAUAAGACCCUAUAGAGCUUUAUUUUUAUUUUUUAUUAUAAAUUUUUGGAUUUUAUAAAUUUAUUUUUUUUUUAAUAAUUUGGUUGGGGUGACAGUUUAAAUUUUAUUAACUUUUAUUAAUUUUUUCAUUAAUUUAUGAUUUUUUUGAUCCUUAAUUUUUUUUUGAUUAUAAGAUGAAGUUACCUUAGGGAUAACAGCGUAAUUUAUUUGUAGAGUUCUUAUCGAUGAAUAAGUUUGCGACCUCGAUGUUGGAUUAAGAUUAGUGAAGGGUGAAGUCUUCUU
rnacentral:rRNA from 1 species